AGUUUGAUCCUGGCUCAGAACGAACGCUGGCGGCAGGCUUAACACAUGCAAGUCGAACGCCCCGCAAGGGGAGUGGCAGACGGGUGAGUAACGCGUGGGAAUCUACCGUGCCCUGCGGAAUAGCUCCGGGAAACUGGAAUUAAUACCGCAUACGCCCUACGGGGGAAAGAUUUAUCGGGGUAUGAUGAGCCCGCGUUGGAUUAGCUAGUUGGUGGGGUAAAGGCCUACCAAGGCGACGAUCCAUAGCUGGUCUGAGAGGAUGAUCAGCCACACUGGAACUGAGACACGGUCCAGACUCCUACGGGAGGCAGCAGUGGGGAAUAUUGGACAAUGGGCGCAAGCCUGAUCCAGCCAUGCCGCGUGAGUGAUGAAGGCCUUAGGGUUGUAAAGCUCUUUCACCGAUGAAGAUAAUGACGGUAGUCGGAGAAGAAGCCCCGGCUAACUUCGUGCCAGCAGCCGCGGUAA
rnacentral:rRNA from 1 species